rnacentral:piRNA from 1 species
UAUAAGAUCCUCUGAGACCUCAGAGAAAGG